rnacentral:rRNA from 1 species
GUGCCAGCAGCCGCGGUAAUACGUAGGUGGCAAGCGUUAUCCGGAAUUAGUGGGCGUAAAGCGCGCGUAGGCGGUUUUUUAAGUCUGAUGUGAAAGCCCACGGCUCAACCGUGGAGGGUCAUUGGAAACUGGAAAACUUGAGUGCAGAAGAGGAAAGUGGAAUUCCAUGUGUAGCGGUGAAAUGCGCAGAGAUAUGGAGGAACACCAGUGGCGAAGGCGACUUUCUGGUCUGUAACUGACGCUGAUGUGCGAAAGCGUGGGGAUCAAACAGGAUUAGAUACC